rnacentral:rRNA from 1 species
UACGUAGGGCGCAAGCGUUGUCCGGAAUCAUUGGGCGUAAAGAGCUCGUAGGCGGUCGGUUACGUCUGCUGUGAAAUCCUAGGGCUUAACUCUGGGCCUGCAGUGGAUACGGGCAGACUAGAGGUAGGUAGGGGAGAAUGGAAUUCCCGGUGUAGCGGUGAAAUGCGCAGAUAUCGGGAGGAACACCGGUGGCGAAGGCGGUUCUCUGGGCCUUACCUGACACUGAGGAGCGAAAGCGUGGGGAGCGAACAGG